AAAGCUCAAAUUUGUAAUCUGGCGCCUUCGGCGUCCGAGUUGUAAUCUCGAGAAAUGUUUUCCGUGUUAGACCGCAUACAAGUCUCUUGGAACAGAGCGUCAUAGUGGUGAGAACCCAGUACACGAUGCGGAUGCCUAAUACUUUGUGAUACAUUUUCGAAGAGUCGAGUUGUUUGGGAAUGCAGCUCAAAUUGGGUGGUAAAUUCCAUCUAAAGCUAAAUAUUGGCGAGAGACCGAUAGCGAACAAGUACCGUGAGGGAAAGAUGAAAAGCACUUUGGAAAGAGAGUUAACAGUACGUGAAAUUGUUGGAAGGGAAACACAUGCAGUCAGACUUGCUAUUCGGGGCAACUCGAUUGGCAGGCCCGCAUCAGUUUUUCGGGGCGGAAAAGCAUAGAGAGAAGGUAGCAGUUUCGGCUGUGUUAUAGCUCUUUAUUGGAUUCGCCCUGGGGGACUGAGGAACGCAGCGUGCUUUUAGCAUGAGCUUCGGCUUAUCCACGCUUAGGAUGCGGGUGUAAUGGCUGUAUAUGACCCGUCU
rnacentral:rRNA from 1 species